rnacentral:rRNA from 1 species
CCUGCCUUUCAGAGGGGGACAACAGUUGGAAACGACUGCUAAUACCGCAUGACACAUGACUGGGACAUCCCGGACAUGUCAAAGAUUUAUCGCUGAAAGAUGGCCUCGCGUCUGAUUAGAUAGUUGGUGAGGUAACGGCCCACCAAGUCGACGAUCAGUAGCCGGACUGAGAGGUUGACCGGCCACAUUGGGACUGAGAUACGGCCCAGACUCCUACGGGAGGCAGCAGUGGGGAAUAUUGGGCAAUGGACGCAAGUCUGACCCAGCAACGCCGCGUGAAGGAAGAAGGCUUUCGGGUUGUAAACUUCUUUGACAGGGGAAGAGUAGAAGACGGUACCCUGAAAACAAGCCACGGCUAACUACGUGCCAGCAGCCGCGGUAAUACGUAGGUGGCAAGCGUUGUCCGGAUUUACUGGGUGUAAAGGGCGUGUAGCCGGGUCGACAAGUCAGAUGUGAAAUCUGGAGGCUCAACCUCCAAACUGCAUUUGAAACUGUCGAUCUUGAGUAUCGGAGAGGUAAUCGGAAUUCCUUGUGUAGCGGUGAAAUGCGUAGAUAUAAGGAAGAACACCAGUGGCGAAGGCGGAUUACUGGACGACAACUGACGGUGAGGCGCGAAAGCGUGGGGAGCGAACAGGAUUAGAUACCCUGGUAGUCCACGCUGUAAACGAUCAAUACUA